CCUACGGGAGGCAGCAGUGAGGAAUAUUGGUCAAUGGACGAGAGCCUGAACCAGCCAAGUCGCGUGAAGGAUGACUGCCCUAUGGGUUGUAAACCUCUUUUACAUGGGAGUAAAGUGUCGCACGUGUGCGGUUUUGUAUGUACCAUAUGAAAAAGGAUCGGCUAACUCCGUGCCAGCAGCCGCGGUAAUACCGAGGAUCCGAGCGUUAUCCGGAUUUAUUGGGUUUAAAGGGAGCGUAGGGGGAUUGUUAAGUCAGGUGUGAAAUUUUGCGGCUCAACCGUACAAUUGCAGUUGAAACUGGCAGUCUUGAGUGCGGGAGAGGUAGGCGGAAUGCGUGGUGUAGCGGUGAAAUGCUUAGAUAUCACGAAGAACUCCGAUUGCGAAGGCAGCUUACU
rnacentral:rRNA from 1 species